rnacentral:rRNA from 1 species
UAUACCUUAAAACAGGUUGGUAAGAGGCACACAGUGAUGGGUUCAUAGGAAAGAGGCGUAAAGAAUUGGGCAUUGAACUUGUGGAACUUAGGGAUAACAACGGGGUUUAUCAAGCGACUGUAUAGCAAAUACACAGGUGUUAGUUCCUCUACUUAUAGAGAUUAGCACUGAUCUGUGACCAGUAUUGAGCUUUAUCUCUUCGACAAACGUUGGCCGUAACAAUAACGGUCCCAAGGUAGCAAAUUUCCUUGUCGUUUAAGUAACGACCUGCAUGAAGGAGGGAACGAUUUGAUAGCUGUCUUGCGUCUUUGUGCUGUGGAACUAUUAGCUAGUGUGAAGAUACGCUAACGUUAUUUUUCUGGGACAACGAGACCCAUUGAAGCUUUCUAGGUAGUCAU